AGAUAUGACAAUGAUAUGGUUACAACUGUCACACUGCCCAUCAUUCAGGCUGAUCAAGCAUCUUCUUCUCUCAUUGGCCCUUGUAUGUUCCUCCUGAAGCUGAGCUGCUCUCCAUCAAAAAAAAAGAUGGCCUUCUCCAACAGAGAGGACCAUUCUUCAUUCAAGGGUCUACAAGUAGCUGAACUUUUCUGUCAGAUACUCCAAACUCUCAAGGUCUACAAAUCCUCCAGAUAUGUUGAAAAUCAAUGCAGAGAUUGUCCCAAUAGAUCAAUUAACUGUAAGACUAU
rfam:Cricetulus griseus cell line CHO-K1, whole genome shotgun sequence.